AGGGUGAGAAUCCCGUCUUUGGCACGGACACACCAGGGCUUCUGUGAUGCGCUCUCAAAGAGUCGAGUUGUUUGGGAAUGCAGCUCAAAAUGGGUGGUGAACUCCAUCUAAAGCUAAAUAUUGGCGAGAGACCGAUAGCGAACAAGUACCGUGAGGGAAAGAUGAAAAGCACUUUGGAAAGAGAGUGAAACAGUACGUGAAAUUGUUGAAAGGGAAACGCUUGAAGUCAGUCGCGUUGGCCGAGACUCAGCCUUGCCUCGGCUUGGUGUACUUUUCGGCCGACGGGUCAGCAUCAAUUUCGCCCCUUGGAUAAUGGCGAGGGAAAUGUGACACCUUUUUAGGUGUGUUAUAGUCUCUUGUCGCAUGCAAGGGUCGGGAUUGAGGAACUCAGCACGCGCCUUUUGGCGUCGGGGCGCUGCCCACGGAUACGUGCUUAGGAUGUUGGCGUAAUGGCUUUAAACGACCCGUCUUGAAACACGGACCAAGGAGUCUAACAUGCCCGCGAGUGUUCGGGUGGAAAACCCGUGCGCGCAAUGAAAGUGAAAGUUGGGACCUCUGUCGUGGAGGGCACCGACGCCCGGACCAGACCUUCUGUGACGGAUCUGCGGUAGAGCGUGUAUGUUAGGACCCGAAAGAUGGUGAACUAUGCCUGAAUAGGGUGAAGCCAGAGGAAACUCUGGUGGAGGCUCGUAGCGAUUCUGACGUGCAAAUCGAUCGUCAAAUUUGGGUAUAGG
rnacentral:rRNA from 1 species